GGCCUUUUCAUUUUGAUUUUGAGCACCCAUCAUGUACCGAAGAGCACAUCAAGGAGCUCAUCUGGAGGGAAUCAUUGGAGUUCAAUCCAGAUCCUCCAGCACAUUAGGAGAAAAUGAAUAUGCUGUAGAAAUACAUUGGGAAUUGGGAUAAUUUCUCUCCCUUGAAUACACAAUUGUCCACCAACAUUUCCUGGGAGUACUUGAACUUGGCAUUCCACGACUAUGAAAGACAAAGUCGCCCAAUGUUCUAGAUACCUAUGCAUAUCUUCUUCAGGGAUUUGGAUGCUUUUAGUUUUAUGUUAAUACGUUAAGUGCAAAUCUCCUGUAAGUACUAGUAGUUGGGAGUUUUAAGAUAUGAGCUCAUCAAAGAUUGAGCAUAUUGUGUUCCUUAUGGAUCUAAUUUUCCAUAUCUAUGUAUCUAUAUAGAUAUAAUAAAGUUGGUCUCUAAUAAAUAUAACUUACUAAAAUUUUCUAAUAAAU
rnacentral:misc_RNA from 1 species